rnacentral:pre_miRNA from 1 species
AUUCUACUCCCUCAGUUGCACAAUACAUGCCUUCUAUUUGUCAAAAUAUAUAUGUAUCUAGACAUGUCUUAGUAUAUAGGUACAUCCAUUUUUGGACAAAUGGAAGUCAAGUAUUUUGGAACGGAGGGAGUACACA